GCCAGCGCGGCCAUCUUUGGCACGCAGGAGAUACAAGCCUGGAUCCCUGGGAGGCGCCUGCGCAGAAGCACCCAGAGGUGGAAGAACCCCAGUGUCCACUGGUGGAUGAACGGACAAACAAAAUGUGGCAUCUCCAGACAACGAAAGAUUAUUCAGCCUGAAAAAGGAAGGACAUUCUGACACAUGCAACCACACUACGGCCUGCAGCUUAAUUUAGCCUCAUCUCGGGUUCAGAUGCUCUCAGAAUUCAGACCAGUACUGCAAGCUGUCUGUUCACAUAUCCAUCCAGUGAUCGCGCCAGCAACUCCAGCUCAGUGUGGCUCCCAUCAAAUGCCAUCUUCUUCCCCAAACAGCUCUUCUCCAGACUUGACUGCUGCAAACAAAGGUGCUAUGAACUAUGGUGUACGGUGUUCCUGUGGGCAGGUUCUCAUCCCUCGGAGAUAAAGGAUCAGAAGUGAGAUUGCUGGGAUUUCCAACCGUCUCCCUAAACCUUGAAAUGGUAGCUGGGGCUCCUGUGUCUUGAUUAAGUCAUUGAGAUGUCAAGGUGGGAUUAUGAAGACUUCAAGACAGCCACUGAGACAGAGGACAUAAACAUGGGAAGACCCUUCUUCAUGGGCACCUCUGCCUCCUCCCUAGGGCCAUUGGAUGGUGCCACCAGUAUAGGAAGUGGGUGUGCCCAGGUGACGUAUGCCAUAUGCAUUUCCAGAAUACUUUCCCAUCAUAAAGUGCUCUC